rnacentral:lncRNA from 1 species
UGACGGCUAUUUUGGAGACCCAGCGGCUUCCCGCGCCUGCCAGCCGUGCCGGUGCAACGGCAACGUGGAGCCCAACGCCGUGGGGAACUGCGACCGCCGGACGGGCGAGUGCCUCAAGUGCAUCUACAACACCGCUGGCUUCUACUGCGACCGCUGCAAAGACGGCUUCUUUGGGAACCCCCUGGCCCCCGAUCCCGCUGACAAGUGCAGAGGUGAGAGCCAGGCACUGUUUGAGCUGGGGGUGAGUAAGAAAAUCCAUGCCAGAGUGCUGAGUGCUUGUUGGGAAAUGGGAUGCUGCAAAAGUUGAAGCUGGAAAGCGGGAGUAGAGAGCAGGAACUGGAGCAGAGGGGGUAAACGGUGGGAGGAAAGCAGGGGGAGAGGGUGGGUGGAAGGAUGUGCUAAGACUUGAGGUGGGGACAGGCUCCUUUUGAACCUGUGCCGCUCUGACCUGCAGCUUGCGCCUGCGACUCAGCUGGUGCUGAGCCCUUGAAGUGUGGGAGAGAUGGGAGCUGCAUCUGCAAGCCCGGCUUUGAGGGUCCCAACUGUGAAGAAAGUGAGUGCCCGGCUUGCUACAGCCAGGUGAAAGCCCAGGUGGACCUGUACCUGCGGCAGCUGGCAGAGCUGGAGCUGCUGUUCUCUGAGGUGCAAGCUGGUGGCGGGGCUGAGAGCCAGGAGCUGGAGGGGAGGAUGCAGCUGGCUGAGGAGAUGCUGAGGAGCAUCCUCAGGGAAGCCCUGAGCCUCCAAGCCUCUGACAGGUCUCUGGAAAGCCGCGUGGGCCGGAUGAAGGGGCAAGGGUCCCGUUUCCAGAGCCGCUUGGAUGAGAUCAAGGCAACAAUGGAGAGGCUGAGGUCUCUUGGGAGCCAGUAUGAGACACAGGUGCAGGACACCCGGCAGCUGCUGGAAAGAGCCAGGCUGGACCUGGACCGCAGCACAGCUGCUCUGCGCCGAGUGGUAAGAGCAUCCAUGUGCAAUGUGCUGCUUGUCUAGCGCAGGGCUGAAAAAACUCCAUGGAGAAAGCAAGAAUUUAACAUAUUCCAGUUAUUGCAUUUUGUUUGUGAGAGCGGAAAAUAUUCUGGUGGCCCGGUCUGCAGGGCUGGGAGCUGGAGAGGAGCUGACGAGGGUGUUCGUGGGGCUGUG